rnacentral:rRNA from 1 species
UACGGAGGGUGCAAGCGUUAUCCGGAUUCACUGGGUUUAAAGGGUGUGUAGGCGGGUAUUUAAGUCAGUGGUGAAAUCUCCGAGCUCAACUCGGAAACUGCCAUUGAUACUAUUUAUCUUGAAUAUUGUUGAGGUAGGCGGAAUAUGUCAUGUAGCGGUGAAAUGCUUAGAUAUGACAUAGAACACCGAUUGCGAAGGCAGCUUGCUAAACAAUUAUUGACGCUGAGGAACGAAAGCGUGGGGAUCAAACAGG